GAUGAACGCUGGCGGCGUGCCUAAUACAUGCAAGUCGAGCGAACAGAUAAGGAGCUUGCUCCUUUGACGUUAGCGGCGGACGGGUGAGUAACACGUGGGUAACCUACCUAUAAGACUGGGAUAACUUCGGGAAACCGGAGCUAAUACCGGAUAACAUUUGGAACCGCAUGGUUCUAAAGUGAAAGAUGGUUUUGCUAUCACUUAUAGAUGGACCCGUGCCGUAUUAGCUAGUUGGUAAGGUAACGGCUUACCAAGGCAACGAUACGUAGCCGACCUGAGAGGGUGAUCGGCCACACUGGAACUGAGACACGGUCCAGACUCCUACGGGAGGCAGCAGUAGGGAAUCUUCCGCAAUGGGCGAAAGCCUGACGGAGCAACGCCGCGUGAGUGAUGAAGGGUUUCGGCUCGUAAAACUCUGUUAUUAGGGAAGAACAAAUGUGUAAGUAACUGUGCACGUCUUGACGGUACCUAAUCAGAAAGCCACGGCUAACUACGUG
rnacentral:rRNA from 1 species